UCUUCGAUGAACUGUCCUAUU
rnacentral:piRNA from 1 species